rnacentral:rRNA from 1 species
UGGGGAAUAUUGCACAAUGGGCGCAAGCCUGAUGCAGCCAUGCCGCGUGUAUGAAGAAGGCCUUCGGGUUGUAAAGUACUUUCAGCGAGGAGGAAGGCGUUGUGGUUAAUAACCGCAGCGAUUGACGUUACUCGCAGAAGAAGCACCGGCUAACUCCGUGCCAGCAGCCGCGGUAAUACGGAGGGUGCAAGCGUUAAUCGGAAUUACUGGGUGUAAAGCGCACGCAGGCGGUCUGUCAAGUCGGAUGGGAAAUCCCCGGGCUCAACCUGGGAACUGCAUCCGAAACUGGCAGGCUAGAGUCUUGUAGAGGGGGGUAGAAUUCCAGGUGUAGCGGUGAAAUGCGUAGAGAUCUGGAGGAAUACCGGUGGCGAAGGCGGCCCCCUGGACAAAGACUGACGCUCAGGUGCGAAAGCGUGGGGAGCAAACA